rnacentral:rRNA from 1 species
CCUACGGGAGGCAGCAGUCGAGGAUCUUCGGCAAUGGACGAAAGUCUGACCGAGCAACGCCGCGUGUGCGAUGAAGGCCUUCGGGUUGUAAAGCACUGUCGAGGGGAAACAAGCCGUAAGGUUGAGUGACCCCUGGAGGAAGCACGGGCUAAGUUCGUGCCAGCAGCCGCGGUAAGACGAACCGUGCAACGUUAUUCGGAAUCACUGGGCUUAAAGGGCGCGUAGGCGGGUAAUCAAGUCAAUGGGUGAAAUCCUCCAGCUUAACUGGAGAAGUGCCUUUGAUACUGGUUGUCUAGAGGGAGGUAGGGGCAUGUGGAACUUCAGGUGGAGCGGUGAAAUGCGUAGAUAUCUGAAGGAACGCCAGUGGCGAAAGCGAUGUGCUGGACCUCUUCUGACGCUGAGGCGCGAAAGCUAGGGGAUCAAACGGGAUUAGAUACCCCGGUAGUCCUAGCCCUAAACUAUGGGUACUAGAUUGUGGACUUUCAUGGGUUCACAGUCGAAGCAAAAGUGUUAAGUACCCCGCCUGGGGAGUAUGGUCGCAAGGCUGAAACUCAAAAGGAAUUGACGG